rnacentral:rRNA from 1 species
AGAACGAACGCUGGCGGCAGGCCUAACACAUGCAAGUCGAACGCGAUCUUCGGAUCGAGUGGCGCACGGGUGAGUAACGCGUGGGAAUCUGCCCUGUGGUACGGAAUAACAUCGGGAAACUGGUGCUAAUACCGUAUAUCCCCUGAGGGGGAAAGAUUUAUCGCCAUGGGAGGAGCCCGCGUAGGAUUAGCUAGUUGGUGAGGUAACGGCUCACCAAGGCGACGAUCCUUAGCUGGUCUGAGAGGAUGAUCAGCCACACUGGGACUGAGAUACGGCCCAGACUCCUACGGGAGGCAGCAGUGGGGAAUAUUGGACAAUGGGGGAAACCCUGAUCCAGCCAUGCCGCGUGUGUGAUGAAGGCCUUCGGGUUGUAAAGCACUUUCGCACGUGACGAUGAUGACGGUAACGUGAGAAGAAGCCCGGCUAACUUCGCGCCAGCAGCCGC